rnacentral:tRNA from 1 species
GAGGGUACAGCUCAGUGGUAGAGCGCAUGCUUAACAUGCAUGAGGUCCUGGGUUCAAACCCCAGUACCUCCU